UGCCAGCCGCCGCGGUAAUACGCAGGGGGUUAGCGUUGUUCGGAAUUACUGGGCGUAAAGCGUACGUAGGCGGAUUAAUAAGUUAGAGGUGAAAUCCCAGGGCUCAACCCUGGAACUGCCUUUGAAACUACAGGUCUAGAGUUCGGUAGAGGUUAGUGGAAUUCCUAGUGUAGGGGUGAAAUCCGUAGAUAUUAGGAAGAAUAUCGAUGGCGAAGGCAGCUAACUGGGCCGAUACUGACGCUGAGAUGCGAAAGCGUGGGGAGCAAACAGGAUUAGAUA
rnacentral:rRNA from 1 species